rnacentral:tRNA from 1 species
GGCAAGAUAUCUCAAUCGGUAGAGGCUGGGACCCCAUAUCCCAGAGGUCGCUGGUUCAAAUCCAGCUCUUGUCU